GGAAAUUAAGGCUGCAGUGAGCCAUGAUUGCACCACUGCACUCUGGCCUGAGUGAGACCCUGUCUCAAAAAAAAAAAAUUUUUUUAACAUGGAGAGAUGAUUAUAAAUUAAUCCUUUUAUAUCCAUUACUCAAUUUCUCCCUAGUCUUAUUUCAUCCGUAUUCCUACCCAUUUCCUGCUCACCACUUCUUUAUUAUUUUAAAGCAAUCCUAUAUAUCAUUUCAGCGUGAUUUAUUCUUAUACUGACUUUUAAGAGCUGUGUAAUACAAAAACAACUCAAUUAGGAAUCAGAUGACUUGACUUUAAGUCUUAACUUUCUACUGGAAUGAGUUAAC
rnacentral:lncRNA from 1 species